CUAUAUGAAAGAAAAAGAGGGGAUAAAACCACCUCACUCUCGGAUCUCUCUAAAACAUCGCGCAUAGGGAGGGAAGAAAUUCCCCAUUUCAUCCCUUAGAGAAAUCAAAUUUUUGGGUUUUGGGGGAGUAUGUUGCCAAGAUGAAACUAAAGAAAUUGCGGAAGGGCACCACCCAGAAGUGGAGCCUUGCGGCUUAAUUUGGCUUCAACCCGGGGAAACUUUCCCAGGUCCCAACCAUAGUAAAGGAUUGACAGAUUGAUAGCUCUUUCUUGGUUUUUAUGGGUGGUGGGGCAUGGCCGUUUUUAGUUGGUGGAAGUGAUUUGUUUGGUUUAAUUCCGAUAACGACGAGACCCUUAACCCUGCUUAACUAGUUUAUUACAUUUCAUGUAAUUUGACUUCUUAGAGGGACUAUGUAUUUAAAGACGGGGGGGGUUUGAGGCAAUAACAGGUAAAAGGAACCCUUAUAUGUCCUGGGCUGCUGCGCGUGGCUACACUGAUGCAUACAACAAGUGCCUAGCUAGACAUAGUAUGGCAAUCUGGAAUAUGCAUCGUGAUGGGGAAAUAGAUCUUUGCAAUUAUAGAUCUUGAACGAGGAAUUCCUAGUAAGUGCAAGUCAUCAUCUUGCAUUGAUUAUGUCCCUGCCCUUUGUACACACCGCCCGUCGCUCCUACCGAUACCGGGUAAUCCGGUGAACCUUUUGGACCUCGCAAGAGGAAAAAUAAGUAAAUCAAAUCACCUAGAGUAAUCUAGAUCACUCGCGAGGUUCUGAGCUCGAAUCACUUGCCCGCCUUUCACCC
rnacentral:rRNA from 1 species